GAUGAACGCUGGCGGCGUGCCUAAUACAUGCAAGUCGAGCGAACAGACGAGGAGCUUGCUCCUCUGACGUUAGCGGCGGACGGGUGAGUAACACGUGGAUAACCUACCUAUAAGACUGGGAUAACUUCGGGAAACCGGAGCUAAUACCGGAUAAUAUAUUGAACCGCAUGGUUCAAUAGUGAAAGACGGUUUUGCUGUCACUUAUAGAUGGAUCCGCGCCGCAUUAGCUAGUUGGUAAGGUAACGGCUUACCAAGGCAAGGAUGCGUAGCCGACCUGAGAGGGUGAUCGGCCACACUGGAACUGGGACACGGUCCAGACUCCUACGGGAGGCAGCAGUAGGGAAUCGGCCGCAGUGGGCGAAAGCCUGACGGAGCAACGCCGCGUGAGUGAUGAAGGUCUUCGGAUCGUAAAACUCUGUUAUUAGGGAAGAACAAAUGUGUAAGUAACUAUGCACGUCUUGACGGUACCUAGUCAGAAAGCCACGGCUAACUACGUG
rnacentral:rRNA from 1 species